GAUGAACGCUGGCGGCGUGCCUAAUACAUGCAAGUCGAGCGAACAGACGAGGAGCUUGCUCCUCUGACGUUAGCGGCGGACGGGUGAGUAACACGUGGAUAACCUACCUAUAAGACUGGGAUAACUUCGGGAAACCGGAGCUAAUACCGGAUAAUAUAUUGAACCGCAUGGUUCAAUAGUGAAAGUCGGUUUUGCUGUCACUUCUAGAUGGAUCCGCGCCGCAUUAGCUAGUUGGUAAGGUAACGGCUUACCAAGGCAACGAUGCGUAGCCGACCUGAGAGGGUGAUCGGCCACACUGGAACUGAGACACGGUCCAGACUCCUACGGGAGGCAGCAGUAGGGAAUCUUCCGCAAUGGGCGAAAGCCUGACGGAGCAACGCCGCGUGAGUGAUGAAGAUCUUCGGAUCGUAAAACUCUGUUAUGAGGGAAGAACAAAUGUGUAAGUAACUAUGCACGUCUUGACGGUACCUAAUCAGAAAGCCACGGCUAACUACGUG
rnacentral:rRNA from 1 species